AAAGAAAUGACGCAUCUGAUUUUUCUUGUGUGCAUGGACAUUUUUCACAUUUACAGAAGAAUAAGUUGUCCAAUGACUGAGUAAUAUCGGUGAAAGUUAUAAAACAUAAAACCAAGACAUAAAUGUCAAGAGAUGUAUAUAUAUAAGUGACAAGAAAAUGCAUGAGAGGCUUUAUGUGUUAGGUUUUGAAAUGAAAAAUGUGAAUAUUUUUGUACUAAUGAUAACUUCUUUUCAAGUAAGAUUUGAAGUGGCUAUAUUAACAGCAGAGUAGUUCAGCUAGAAAAAUCUUUCAGCGUGUGGUGUUUGAUAAUCUCACAGUCCAGGUAUGGAUUGCAUUAUAGUGCCUAAAAAAGAUUUUCUUCAUAGUUGUGGCAAGAAAGGUUAUUCCAACUAGUGGAUUUAUCACAUCUAACUCUUCUAAGACACUGUGCAAAAGGUAACUAAGAAUAUAUGUAAUGUUAUGGAAAAAAAGUAGACUUCAAAAGAAGAAUUCUCAGGAUUUUGAUGCGAUGUUCUGACCCAGCUGGUCACGGUCCAGCUGCGCUGGAGUUCAUAUAGACACUUGUGUCUAUAUGCCACCCAGUCUAAUUGGUUACAAUGCUGUGCACGUAUUCCUGAUAUAUGCACACAUUUACAAACACAGCAAAGGAACAUCCUGCACUUACAUAAACAGCAUUUAUGUCCUCAAUCUGUUUCCCCCUCUGUCUGGUCAGGACCAAUCUCUAUUAAUGGGAAAUGUAUACAUAUAUAUAACGUGUAUGCAUUACGCAUAGAUAUAAUAUACAUAGCAUUUAGGCCUAGAUACUGAGUCUACCCAAUAGCUGGCCAUGAAUUCUGCCUUCUCCAGCUGCAACUAGUAAAAACGAAAUGAUGUAUUCUAUGAUUCCAUAUGAGAAGAGAAUCUUUAGUGAAACAUAUUGUCAAUUUUUUCAUGAAAUGCUUAAUUUCAGUUUGAGGACCGCUGAUACAGAACAGAUCUACACUGUGGUUGUGCUGAUGUUUCAUGGACUGUGAUGUGUAGAAGGUGAGACUGGAUUAUCGCUGUGAUUUGUUGGGUUUCAGAACCUGUUAUUUAAUAAUCUGACAAACUCAGUGCCACCUGUAACAACCUUUCCUUCUCCUUUCCUAAAGUGAAAAGGAAAUUCCAGUUUUAGGAAUGGGAAUGAGAAAGGGCAAAAAACACUGCUUAGAUGAGGGCAAUAAUCAUCACUAUUUGUUACCCACCUCACACAGUAUAAACGGUAAUGUACCAUAACAGCAGUACAGGCUCUGUUAAUUGGCAACAAGGGAAACUAACAAUGAAUUAUAAAAGGGGCAACUAAUGCCUUGGCUUAAACCACUAAUAACUCCUAUUUUAUACCUUCUCAAAUGAACUGCUUAUGAUGGUCUGACUUGGUAAAAGAUUUAUUUUAAAUCCAACUUUUAUCAACAGUUUACCUUGUGAGGUAAAUCUGUGUCUGGUAAGUAAAGGACAUUUUUUUCAUGUUUCUACAACUGGCUUGAAGUAUGAGAGAGGGAUGUCCAUCUUUAAAAUAAAAGACAGACUUCUCAAAUAUUGCUGCCCUCAUCAUCAGCCAAGGUCCUGUACAUUAACUUGUAUAUUCAACAAGGCUUUUCUAAAUACUUGUUGAAAUACCUGCUGCUUCUUCUUUUCCCAUGUACCGCCCUUCUCUUCCCAAGUCACCAGUUUCCAAAGCAUGCUGUCAAACACUGCACUGUCUCUAAAGAAAAGUCAUGCAAGUCAUGCAGAAAAUUUCUUUAUCAGAGUCAUUAUGACUUAGAUUAACUUAAGAAAAA
rnacentral:lncRNA from 1 species